rnacentral:misc_RNA from 1 species
GAAAUGCGAUAAUUAAUGUGAAUUGCAGAAUUCAGUGAAUCAUCGAGUCUUUGAACGCACAUUGCCCCCCUGGUAUUCCGGGGGGCAUGCCUGUCCGAGCGUCAUUGCUGCCCUCAAGCACGGCUUGUGUGUUGGGCUUCCGUCCCUGGCAACGGGGACGGGCCCAAAAGGCAGUGGCGGCACCAUGUCUGGUCCUCGAGCGUAUGGGGCUUUGUCACCCGCUCCCGUAGGUCCAGCUGGCAGCUAGCCUCGCAACCAAUCUUUUUAACCAGGUUGACCUCGGAUCAGGUAGGGAUACCCGCUGAACUUAAGC